rnacentral:lncRNA from 1 species
CUUUCGCUUCUGCGGCGCUCGUCGGAACCUUUGUCUCUCUGUUCCUCUUCUGAUGGCGUUCUACCCUGGGAACGUGGGUGUGCUACUCCAUGUGGUUUGCAUGAUCAGAGACUGCAGGAUGGAUCUCGGAGAAGACGACUCCUGCUGGGCCUCUAAGGCAACCAUGUAUAGACAUCCACAAUCUUCAGUCUCCUGAUCUCUGGGGUAAGCGUUUGUAUUUUGGCCCGUUGUAGGAAAUGCGUGUUUUAAAGAACUUUAGUUUGAUAGAUGACCUUGGAGAGAAAAAGGGAAGUUAAGGACAGCAAAUAAGCACAAAGGUGGAGGUUACCUACGUGGGGUCCAGAAGGAUGUGGUUUUGUCCUAUUGGCCUUACCCAGUUACCUAUGUCAUCAGUCCUCGCCAUGGUUUUUUUGCCCUUUUCUUCCUGCAAGAUUAAGUCACCAUUCCUCACAUCCCUUUGCUAUCAGUUGAGGAGUGGGUUAAAGAUUCAUGUCCAGCUAGGCGUAGGUAUACUCCCUAUAGUAGACAAGGCCUUUGGGGAUGUUAAUCUCUGGAGCCCUUUAGCCAAAUAUUAAUCAGUAGCCACGUCAAAGAAUGCGUUGAAGCCCAUGUUCUGCACUGACUGAGUUACUAUUUUGCUUCACUAGGGCAUACGGAAUUCUUUGGGUCAGGGAUCAGAUCUGAGCUGAAGCUGCAACCUACCCCACACAACACUGGAUUCUUUAACCCACUGCCAGGCUGGGGGGUCUAACGUAUGUCCUGGUGCUGUAGAGAGGCCCCAGAUGUACUGUGCCACGGAAUUUCCAAGUGGUUAAUGUGAUGACUUGUCUUUUUUUUUUUUUUUUUUUUUUUUUUUGCCCUUUUUUGGGNCGAAUCAAAGCUGUAGCUGCCAGCCUGCCCCAGAGUCACGGCAACGCCGGAUUGUUAACCCACUGAACAAGGGCAGGGAUCGAACCCGCAACCUCAUGGUUCCUAGUCGGAUUCGAAAACCACUGCCCCACGACGGGAAGUCCUGUGACGGCUUUUUUUUUUUUUUUUUUUUUUUUGUCUUUUUGCCAUUUUCUGGGGCCGAACCAUGGCAUAUGGAGGUUCCCAGGCUAGGGGUCCAAUCGGAGCUGUAGCCGCCUGCCCACACCAGAGCCACAGCCACGCGGGAUCUGAGCCAUGUCUGCGACCUGCACCACAGCUCACGGCAACGCCGGAUCCUUAACCCACUGAGUGAGGCCAGGGCUCGAACCCACAACCUCAUGGUUCCUAGUCGGAUUCGUUAACCACUGAGCCAUGACGGGAACUCCUGUGAUGGCAUUUUUUUUUAAAGGAAAGCCAAAUAAAUGUACUUUGUUGGCCUAGUUACUUUUAUUACCCAGAAUCUUUUACCCACGCUUGUGGCAUGUGGAAGUUCCUGGGCCAUGGAUUGAACCUAGUUUUCGGUUUUGGUUUCUUUUUUUUUGGUUUGGUUUGGUUUGGUUUUGCUUUUUCGGGCUGCACCCAUGGCAUAUGGAGGUUCCCAUGCUAGGGGUCUAAUCAGAGCUACAGCUGCCGGCCACAGCCACAGCAACACAGGAUCCUUAACCCACCCACUACGUGAGGCCAGAGACCGAACCUGCAACCUCAUGGUUCCUAGUUGGAUUCUUUUCCGCUGUGCCACAAAGGGAACUCCGAAUACAUUUUCUAUUGAGUCCUGAAAUGCCACCUUAAGGGUGGGAUUUCUUGGACCCUGUUUUCCUUGAACUCUGAUCCCGAGUUCCUUGCAUUGAAUCAUCCUGACGCAAAACCCUGCAAUGACAUCUCACCUCAGCACAAGCCAGCCAUUUGCCCACAGCUUUGCCAAGCACACUGACCUCUCAGAUGUAAACUCAAAAGGUAGGAGUGUUUGUCUUAGCUAUUACUGCCAGCAGCAGCACACUAGAAGUGCUUUGAAUACUACAUGAAAUUGCAGGUAGAGAAUCAGACCAAGUCUAAUUCCUGGUUCAGGGUUCUUCAGAGGCCAAGAGCUUCUUACUGGCAUAUAUGAUGACUGAACUUUUUUCCCCAACAGAUCGACCAUGUUGAUCAAACUCUCUAAGCCAGUUUCUGUCUGAUAUGCCAGUUUGAGCAGCUCUUGUCCUCCACUCCCUUGGGUAUCUAGCUGAUGGAGCUCAUGUUUCAUUGUUUUCAUCUUAGGUUUACUAGUGGCAGAAAGCAGACUUUGAAUGGACUAUCAUUUGGAAAGAAUGGGUAAGUCAUGUCCAUUAACUGUUCCUUUUUAAAAGGGGUUAUCCCCCUCGCGUUCUAAUUACUGUGACCCAAAUAUAUGGCCAUUGCAGCUGAUGACUUUUCUCCCAGUCAGAUCGACCCUGUUGAUCUCACUGAAUUAGCCAGUUUUGUUGAUGGCAUUGGUCACAAAGACAACCUCAGUUUUCUGCUUACCAUCAACAGAUUUUGCUAUGUGGGAAUUGGGCUUGCUUCAAGGGUUUUUCCCCCCCUUAACCAAUCAAGUUAUUGGCUUCAUUUGUUGACUUUCUGCAGGACUAGAGCACCCUGUGUUCCUCAAGGCAAUGAGGAAGUGGAUUCCAGCCUGAUUUUGCCGUCAGCUUGGUUCAGUCUAUCCUGUAACAGGGCAUUUAUCAGCUAUGGACUUGGAAUACAAGGCCUCAAAUGACUGAUCCUGUGCUCUCCAGAGAAAGCAUGACUUGGUUGAUCAGUCUCACAAGAUGAUUCUGCAACCCAGGUAUCCAGAGUUGGAAAAGCCUCUGCCUGCUCUGAAGAAUCAGUUACUGAUUUUUAGCCUCCCUAUGUGGAAAAUAAAGCCCUUUAAAUCAAAA